CAAUAGCGUAUAUUAAAGCUGUUGCGGUUAAAAAGCUCGUAGUUGGAUUUCUGUCAAGGACAACUGGUCCGCCCCUCGGGUGAGCACAUAGUUUGGUCUUGGCAUCUUGUUGGAAACUGUUGCGGCACUUGGUUGUGUGGCGCAGUGUCCAGCACUUUCACUUUGAGGAAAUUGGAGUGUUUCAAGCAGGCACAUGCCUUUGGACACAGUAGCAUGGAAUAAUUAGAUUGGGCUUUUGCUCCAACUUGUCGGUUUCUGGAGCUGAGGUGAGAAUUAAUGGGGAUUGUUGGGGGCAUCCGAAUUUAGCCGUCAGAGGUGAAAUUCUUGGAUCUGCUAAAGACGGACAACUGCGAAAGCGUUUGCCCAGGAUGUUUUCAUUGA
rnacentral:rRNA from 1 species